GGUGGCACAGUGGUUAAGCACUUGGCUGCUAACCAAAAGGUUGGUGGUUUAAAUCCACCAGCCA
rfam:Loxodonta africana unplaced genomic scaffold scaffold_18, whole genome shotgun sequence.